rnacentral:rRNA from 1 species
GACGUAGGGCGCGAGCGUUGUCCGGAUUUAUUGGGCGUAAAGAGCUCGUAGGCGCUUGUCGCGUCGUGCGUGAAAGACCCCGGCUCAACUGGGGAGGGUCGUGCGAUACGGGCGAACUGGAGGCCAGUAGGGGGAUGCGGAAUUCCGGGUGUAGUGGUGGAAUGCGUAGAGAUCCGGAAGAACACCGGUGGCGAAAGCGGCUACUCUGGAACGGUACUGACGCUGAGACGCGAAAGCGUGGGGAGCGAACGAGG